GGAGUCGUAGCUCAGUGGUUAGAGCGGCCGCCUGCAGAGCGGCAGGUCAUGAGUUCGAUUCUCGUCGGCUCCU